UGGCGGACGGGUGAGUAAUGUCUGGGAAACUGCCCGAUGGAGGGGGAUAACUACUGGAAACGGUAGCUAAUACCGCAUAACGUCGCAAGACCAAAGAGGGGGACCUUAGGGCCUCUUGCCAUCGGAUGUGCCCAGAUGGGAUUAGCUAGUAGGUGGGGUAACGGCUCACCUAGGCGACGAUCCCUAGCUGGUCUGAGAGGAUGACCAGCCACACUGGAACCGAGACACGGUCCAG
rnacentral:rRNA from 1 species